GACGAACGCUGGCGGCGUGCUUAACACAUGCCAGUCGAACGAAGAGCGAUGGAAGCUUGCUUCUAUCAAUCUUAGUGGCGCACGGGUGAGUAACGCGUAAUCAACCUGCCCUUCAGAGGGGGACAACAGUUGGAAACGACUGCUAAUACCGCAUACGAUCUAAUCUCGGCAUCGAGGAUAGAUGAAAGGUGGCCUCUACAUGUAAGCUAUCACUGAAGGAGGGGAUUGCGUCUGAUUAGCUAGUUGGAGGGGUAACGGCCCACCAAGGCGAUGAUCAGUAGCCGGUCUGAGAGGAUGAACGGCCACAUUGGGACUGAGACACGGCCCAGACUCCUACGGGAGGCAGCAGUGGGGAAUCUUCCGCAAUGGACGAAAGUCUGACGGAGCAACGCCGCGUGAGUGAUGACGGCCUUCGGGUUGUAAAGCUCUGUUAAUCGGGACGAAAGGCCUUCUUGCGAAUAGUGAGAAGGAUUGACGGUACCGGAAGAGAAAGCCACGGCUAACUACGUG
rnacentral:rRNA from 1 species